CCUACGGGAGGCAGCAGUGAGGAAUAUUGGUCAAUGGACGAGAGUCUGAACCAGCCAAGUAGCGUGAAGGAUGACUGCCCUAUGGGUUGUAAACUUCGUUUAUAUGGGAAUAAAAUUUUCCACGUGUAGGAUUUUGUACGUACCAUAUGAAUAAGGAUCGGCUAACUCCGUGCCAACAGCCGCGGUAAUACGGAGGAUCCGAGCGUUAUCCGGAUUUAUUGGGUUUAAAGGGAGCGUAGGUGGAUUGUUAAGUCAGUUGUGAAAUUUUGGGGCUCAACCGUAAGAUUGCAGUUGAAACUGGCAGUCUUGAGUACAGUAGAGGUGAGCGGAAUUCGUGGUGUAGCGGUGAAAUGCUUAGAUAUAACGAAGAACCCCGAUUGCGAAGGCAGUUCACUGGACUGAAACUGACACUGAGGCACGAAAGUGUGGGUAUCAAACAGGAUUAGAUACCCGAGUAGUC
rnacentral:rRNA from 1 species